GGAGGGCACAGCUCAGGGGUAGAGCACGUGCUUAGGAUGCAUGAGGUCCUGGGUUCAAUCCCCAGCACCUCCA
rfam:Camelus ferus unplaced genomic scaffold scaffold164, whole genome shotgun sequence.